rnacentral:tRNA from 1 species
AGUUAAUAAGCUCUAAGCAAUAUAACUUGAAAUUAUAUAAAAGUAAAAAAAUACUAUUAACUU